AUCAGAGAUGAAAAGGGAGAUUGCUCAUUUCUUUGUUCGAAAGUGGACACGGCUCACUACCGCACCCUAGUGUCAAUGUCCAUUAUUUAAGGGGAAAUAGACGUAGUUUAGAAGGGAUUGUGCACUACUCCCCUCCAGAAGUGGACACGCCGAAGAGAGCUGAAAAUAUACGUAUAAGAUUUGCCAUGCUCGUGCCUAGGGUAUUCGUCUACAAGCGCUCCAUCUCGCGGCCGGCUUCGUGCAUCUCCUAAAAGAAGGGGCGCGUGUCGAGUGACGCAGUACGUGCGUGUGUGCGUGCUGACUGUCAGGCAAGCGAAUUCUAAAUUCACUCCUCGAGGCUCGGAAUCUUCGACGCUUCGAGACUCGGAGUCUUCGAGGCUCCGUGUGUUCGAAACCCAGACAAUCCACUCUUUUUUUCUUUGUUGUUUAUUCAUCUGAAAAAAUUCCAACACGUCCGUAGCAUAACUGGACACAUCUGAGAAUUAUUUCAGAUUUUUUUGUUACAAAAUGUAACCGUGAAAAAUAAGAAGAUUUUUAGGUUUGGUGCGUCAAUGCGAAAAAAAUCAAAAACUAUGUACGUCUCAUGUUGAAGUACGUAAAUGAAAGACGCGCUUCCAGCAGCGGCAACAGCGAAGGGGUGAUGACACGAGGU